rnacentral:rRNA from 1 species
CACGUAGGGUGCGAGCGUUGUCCGGAAUUAUUGGGCGUAAAGAGCUCGUAGGCGGUGUGUCGCGUCGGCCGUGAAAACCUGCAGCUUAACUGUGGGCUUGCGGUCGAUACGGGCAUCACUGGAGUUCGGCAGGGGAGACUGGAAUUCCUGGUGUAGCGGUGAAAUGCGCAGAUAUCAGGAGGAACACCGGUGGCGAAGGCGGGUCUCUGGGCCGAUACUGACGCUGAGGCUCGAAAGCGUGGGGAGCAAACAGG